UACAGAGGGGGCAAGCGUUAUUCGGAAUUAUUGGGCGUAAAGGGCGCGUAGGCGGCUUUGCAAGUGACGGGUGAAAUCCCUCGGCUUAACCGAGGAACUGCCUGUCAAACUGCAUGGCUUGAGACCGGGAGAGGUGAGUGGAAUUCCCAGUGUAGCGGUGAAAUGCGUAGAUAUUGGGAGGAACACCAGUGGCGAAGGCGGCUCACUGGACCGGUACUGACGCUGAUGCGCGCAAGCGUGGGGAGCAAACAGG
rnacentral:rRNA from 1 species